UGGGGAAUUUUGGACAAUGGGCGAAAGCCUGAUCCAGCAAUGCCGCGUGUGUGAAGAAGGCCUUCGGGUUGUAAAGCACUUUUGUCCGGAAAGAAAUCCUCUGGGUUAAUACCUCGGGGGGAUGACGGUACCGGAAGAAUAAGCACCGGCUAACUACGUGCCAGCAGCCGCGGUAAUACGUAGGGUGCAAGCGUUAAUCGGAAUUACUGGGCGUAAAGCGUGCGCAGGCGGUUUGCUAAGACCGAUGUGAAAAUCCCCCGGGCUCAACCUGGGGAACUGCAUUGGUGACUGGCAGGCUAGAGUAUGGCAGAGGGGGGUAGAAUUCCACGUGUAGCAGUGAAAUGCGUAGAGAUGUGGAGGAAUACGAUGGCGAAGGCAGCCCCCUGGGCCAAAUACUGACGCUCAUGCACGAAAGCGUGGGGAGCAAACAGGAUUAGAUACCCUGGUAGUCCACGCCCUAAACCGAUGUCAACUAGUUGUUGGGGAUUCAUUUCCUUAGUAACGUGAGCUAAUCGCGUGAAGUUGACCGCCUGGGG
rnacentral:rRNA from 1 species